GAUGAACGCUGGCGACGUGCUUAACACAUGCAAGUCGAACGGUGAACACGGAGCUUGCUCUGUGGGAUCAGUGGCGAACGGGUGAGUAACACGUGAGCAACCUGCCCCUGACUCUGGGAUAAGCGCUGGAAACGGCGUCUAAUACUGGAUAUGUGACGUGACCGCAUGGUCUGCGUUUGGAAAGAUUUUUCGGUUGGGGAUGGGCUCGCGGCCUAUCAGCUUGUUGGUGAGGUAAUGGCUCACCAAGGCGUCGACGGGUAGCCGGCCUGAGAGGGUGACCGGCCACACUGGGACUGAGACACGGCCCAGACUCCUACGGGAGGCAGCAGUGGGGAAUAUUGCACAAUGGGCGCAAGCCUGAUGCAGCAACGCCGCGUGUGGGAUGACGGCCUUCGGGUUGUAAACCUCUUUUAGCAGGGAAGAAGCGAAAGUGACGGUACCUGCAGAAAAAGCGCCGGCUAACUACGUG
rnacentral:rRNA from 1 species